UUAAAAAUACAAUAGAUGGUGAUAAAUAAUACAAAUAAAAUAAAAAUAUGAUAGUGCCAAAUACUGAGAGGACUAAAGCAGAGAAGAGGGGUAGCGACUGUCUGAUGAGUUGCGAUGGUAACAUUUGAGUGCCGAUCAUAAAGCAUGAGUGAAUGAGGCACUCUAAAAAGAGGGAACAGAACUGUCACAGCUAACAGGAGCCUAAGAAAACAUGACAAUUAAAUGGAAUAUGGCAUCCUGGAUGGGGUCCUGGAGCAGAAGGCCAUUAGGUACAAACUAAGGAAAUCCAGAUUACGUAUGGACUCUAGUUCCUAACAAUAUAUCAGUAUAGGUUCACGUGUUGUACCAAAUAUACCUUUAAUGCAAGAUGGUAGGAAUCAGAGAAACCGGGCAUGGGGUUUGUAGGAACUCCCUGUAGUAUCUUCUCACAUUCUCUGUAAAUCUACAAUUAUUCUAAAGUAAAAUGUUUAUCCAAAGGUGGGGGCAGCAAAUGCAAAGGCAGUGGGGCAGGAGCGCGCCUGACAGAAUCAGCACGAGGCACGAGGGAGAGUGCGAGGAGGGAGGCUGGAGAGGCGGAUGGAGAAUGAACUGUGUUCAGGCUGGCGGGACAUUCUCAGGACUCUGUCCUUUGGAUGUGGAACCACUGGAGGCCUUGGAGCGCAGAAGUGACACGAUCUGACGUGUAUUCCAGCAGCUUCCUCUGGCUGCUUUGUUGAACCAGACCAGUGAGGAGGCUCCUGAGGAAGUCCAGGCAAGAGAGAGGAUGGUGCAUCAGACCAUGAUGGAAGCAGUGGAGGAGGUGAGGGCAGGGCAAGUUCUGGAAACAUUUUGUAGGUAGAGCUGACCAUAUGCUGACAGGUUAGAUGGGGGGCGGGGCUGUGAGAGAACAAGA